UUAUGUCCAAAUUAAGUUUAUUUUUUAAGGGUAAGCACGCACGUAAUACGCUGAAUACGCUCAAUCGUGCAGCGCCUAAAAAUUUAAUAACGAAUAACGCAUUUUGAGUUUUGAGCGUUUUUAUUAAACAGAAGACGGUCGAUGGUCGAGCAUUGGUAUCCUUCAAAAAUACGCUGACACAUCGGCCUACUCGUUUAAAAAACGGGUUUACUGUAAAAUCAAUUUUUUUUCCGUUAUAGAAAUUGUUCUUAUAGUAUAUUAAGUAUGGAGAACGGUAAGGGUUUGUUACUGUUCGACAUGCUUAUAACGUUUUUUGCACGAUCGGAAUCAGUAUCAGUGUCAAAAUUAUAAAUACAUAAUUUUUAAAUAAAAUGAACGUAUUGAGAUUACGAAUUUAGACGGCUCUGUGUUACUAUGGAUUAUUGCCAAACAAACAAAAAUUGUGUUCUGCCAGUUGUCGAUUAAUUCGAUAAAAAGUAUUGAUUGAAAGUGCAGCGGUGUUUUUUGAUAAAGAAUAAUGAGCGAUUCGGAAACAGAGAAUUUGUUAGAAGAACCCUGGAAUAUUGGAAUGAUCGGCAAUAAUUCCGGAAAAAACAAAAUUACGAUAUGAAAAAUUCUUAAAUGAAGCACCUGAUGAAGAAUUUUGAUUAAUAAGCUCACUGUGAUAUUAAGAGUCUCAGGGACUUGUAGAAGAGAGGAAUUAUAUAACAUGACUAUUAUAAUAAUAGGAGUAAUAUACAACGGCCUCUGAGUUCUGUGACUAAUGCAACUGAUUCAGUUCUAAUUGUGCGCAAACGAGUCGUAUUACUAUUAACAACUGUAGCAAUUGUACUUUUCACUUUUAGUAUGAAUAAAUAAUUAAUAAAUUUUGAA